rnacentral:rRNA from 1 species
UACGAAGGGGGCGAGCGUUGUUCGGAAUUACUGGGCGUAAAGGGCGCGUAGGCGGCCCUCUUUGUCGCGUGUGAAAGCCCCGGGCUCAACCUGGGAACGGCGCGCGAAACGGGGGGGCUGGAGUUCGGGAGAGGAGCGUGGAAUUCCCAGUGUAGAGGUGAAAUUCGUAGAUAUUGGGAAGAACUCCGGUGGCGAAGGCGGCAUACUGGACCACCACUGACGCUGAUGCGCGAAAGCCAGGGGAGCAAACGGG